rnacentral:rRNA from 1 species
CCUACGGGUGGCAGCAGUGAGGAAUAUUGGUCAAUGGGCGAGAGCCUGAACCAGCCAAGUCGCGUGAGGGAGUACUGCCCUAUGGUUUGUAAACCUCUUUUGUCGGGGAGCAAAAGCCGGACGUGUCCGGCUGUGAGAGUACCCGAAGCAAAAGCAUCGGCUAACUCCGUGCCAGCAGCCGCGGUAAUUGGGAGGAUGAGAGCGUUAUCCGGAUUGAUGGGGGUAAAAGGGUGCGCAGGCGGAUUUUUAAGUCAGCGGUAAAAUCGUGGGGCUCAACCCCAUCCAGCCGUUGAAACUGGGGAUCUAGAGUGUGCGAGAGGUAUGCGGAAUGCGUGGUGUAGCGGUGAAAUGCAUAGAUAUCACGCAGAACCCCGAUUGCGAAGGCAGCAUACCGGUGCACAACUGACGCUCAGGCACGAAAGCGUGGGUAUCGAACAGGAUUAGAUACCCGGGUAGUC